CACACAGCCUCAGCGCGCAACCUACAGAGCCCAGGGGGCAGGUGCCCCCGGGCCAGCCCCGCCCCCGUCUCCGUGCCCUGCGCCUGCGCAUGAGCUCCAGGUGGAUGGCGUCGCCGGCUGCCGGAAGCGAAGCGAGGAACAGAUGUUGUGUGAGCCCUGAGGUCUCCAGUCUUCCUGUUUCCCAUCUCGCCGGGCUCCUAUCUCAGCUGGUCUGUUUUCAGCUUCGAGAAGAUUCCUCGUCACUGCCCAGACGCAAGUUGUCCAUUAGGGUUGGAGCUUGGAUGGUGUGUGUGUAGUACUUGAAAUCCAGAGAGAGAGACAGAGAGACAGAGACAGAGAGAGACAGAGAAGGGGGCACGGCCUCCGUACUUAGGAGUCUUCAUCUUCAUUUUACCUGGAGGAUCGGAGAAUCAUGCCUUUAUUUUCAUCGUGAACCCUUUUGAAAUUCUGAGAACAGUUGAAGAUUGAACUGAGAAAGAACUAUUGCACCAGUAUUGCCAACCCUCCUUUUUGCUGAUGAGGUCAUUGAAAGACAUGCUCGAAAAUAUUUGUCAAAUGAUCAAACAGAUGCAUGAGUGAAUUAAAGAAAACCAACAGUUAAACUCGAGAAGACAUCAUCCUUCCUGGACCCUCAGUCUGCCACCCCAAGAAACGGUGAGGUAACUGGGCCGAGAUGAUUGCCAAACACCUGCAAGACGCAGGCCUGGUGCCGUGAGCACGGAGGAGCCCGGGGUCCCCAGUACCUUGUACCAACGGGGGGGACAGACCUGUGGCCUAAUGCCCACCCCACUGCCUGUCCUGCAACCAGUUCUCACCAAAAUCCUGUGCUAUUUGCAAGACUUCCUGAAGCAUAAAGGCUUUGAGAUCAAGUCCAGAAGAUUCUUCCCUUGGAUGCUUCCGCAGUGUGUGUUUUUGUGUGAUGGGUUCUGUGUGACCCAGUGACAUGCAUCAUACUUGAAAUACUUCCACUGCUGACAAAAUAAAUCAGCUCUCCCCGCCGUAGCGCUCAGCUUAUUAGGGGAAAAUGGAAAAGGGACAUUAAAUAUUAAUACUGCAUAUUUUCCUCUCCCUUGGCACCUUCUAUGUGGCUGAUCACUGCCCAGCCAGAGCAGCCUUCUGUCUUUCUUCUCCCGAUGAUGAUAGGGGACAGAAGGGACCUUUGACAAGGCAGUGAGGGACACGAGCGUAAAAUGGGGCUCCAGCUGACUUUCUGGCUUCCUGCUUGGAAGCACCCAUGUCUCUAUCGGAUGCCAAGGACCACAGCACCAUGAAACUUCGUCUGCAGUGGAAACCCUGCCCCUCUGCUAGUUUGGCUUGGAAGCAUUCACAGUAAGGAGAGAGCGCAGUUUCUUGAAGGAAAGGUGGUUUCAGAGGAGGCGGCUUGGGAGAAAUGAAGCUUGGAGAAGCAGUUGAUAAGUCCUGAGCUAACUGACAGAAGAGAUCACUGGCUUUGCCUCUGUGUUUGUUCAUUUUCAGCAAACAUUCAAUGAAGGAGCCCUCAUCCCUUAGCCCAGGCCACUGAGGAAGUGUGUAUAGGCACCUUUUAGGCCUCAGAAAGAAACUCUUCCAGAAAUGCUGGUGUUUC